CAGGAUGGCGCAGUUCCACUUGCUGGACCCUCACUACGAUGAGCACCACAGGGGCCGUCUCACCGCAGAGGGAGAGGUGUUGCCCGUUCUGCGGGUCCGGACCCACGACCGGUUUCUGGAGGAGAUGAGGUACGAUGAGAGGUACACUCCUCUCCUACAGAGGGCUGGCUUGGACGUCGUAUCGUACCAGGUUUAUUUGUAUGUUGUAACAUAUGUCUGUAACUAAUAUUUCAAUUACAGAGGGUAUCACGUCGUCUUCGUCGUGCAGCGGCUCGGUGUGGAUGCCGGUCUCUAGCGGGCGUUGACGUGCAGCUGCCUGUGCCUCGUAUGCAGCAGGACGUUCAGCCUCCCAUUUGUGCAGUUGGACCAUCUACAGCAGGACUGAGCUCCUCGCGAUCGACGCGGGACACGUUUGAGGACGUGGCCCACGAGGACGAGGACAAGGACGACGACACUGGCGCUGGCGCCGCAGGUCAGGAGGAGAUUGGACCAUCUCAGUUGCAGGAUGCUCCUACAACUCAGCCAUCACAGCUGACACCACGUAGAAGGCGUCCACGAGACCCUUACACUCCAGGCACCGACGCUCUUGGGGCCAAGGGCAAGGGUAAGACUAGGAGGAAAUGAAUACUUUUGUGAUGUUGGUCUUAUGCUGAAAACUUUGUGAUUUGGACUCAUGCUUGAGACGUUGUAAUGUGAACUAUGUUAUGUGAUUUGGACUAUGUUUUAUGGACAUUGUAUUUUGGA